GGGGAAUCUUUGGUAUCAGACGUGAUUUUCCAAUCACGGAGAGCAAGCAGAUUCCAAGUCCUCCGGCGUCUGAUCCUCCCCUGGAAGGGACGUCGGACACAAACGCGAGGUCCCCCAGCUGCCGCCCCCGGCGUGGUGGGGUGGGGGCCAGUUCUGCAGUCCACGAGGAGGGCGGUCUUAAGGUCCCUCUGCCUCUCACGGCAGGGCUCUCUGGAAUCUUCCAGGAGGGGAGCCAGAUGGAGCAACUGAUCUCAGGAGGAAGAAGUUGGACCGUCUAGCCAGAGAACUUCUACACAUCCCUCAGUGCCCAGCUACAUUGGCCCCUUCCUCAGGAGGUCUUUUCCUUCGACUCCCCUGGCAGAGCCAUGCUGGGUCCCGGGCUGGGCUGGGGCUGGGUUGUUACUGGGAUGAAACCACCAUGGGGAGAAAUCAGGAGAGCCUGCAGCGUGGUGGGGAGACCUCUGACCCUGACCAGUGAGACAGCAGGAGCAGCUGCCUGGGGCCUGGGUGGCAGGAGGGAGUGGCCUGAGGGAGAUGGCAGGGGAGGACAGGGCGGCAGAGCCACUCCAUUUGCAGCUGGCCGCAUGCUCUCUGCCUGCCCCGAUGUUUCCUGGGUUUGUCAAGCACACACAGUGGGGAUGGGGUGGGGGGCAAGUCUGAACCCUCGGCAGGGCAAGAUCACCCCCAUAAUCUUGCACUUGUCUGGGAAACUGAAGCUGAGACUUGGCUGUCCCACCAAGGGCCGAUCCAGCAAGGCGAUACACGCCUGCAACCCCAACAUGCAGGAGGCUGAGGCAGGAGGGCCCCCCCGCCGUGAAUUCCGGGUCAGCCUGAGUUACAUAGUGAGACGCCGCUCAAAAAGCCAAACAGCAAACAAAUAAAUGAACGAAAAGUA